rnacentral:rRNA from 1 species
CAAGUCGAACGGGCCGCAAGGCCAGUGGCGCAAGGGUGAGUAAGGCGACGGUAACCAACCCCAGGAUUGGGUAUAGCCGCGGGAAACCGCGGGUAAUCCCCAGCGACGCAACGGCACCGGCAUCGGUGCCUUGCCAAAGCUUCGGCGUCGUGGGACGGGCUGUCGUGGUAUUAGCUUGUUGGCGGGGUAACGGCCCACCAAGGCUCUGAUGCCUACCGGGCGUGCGAGCGUGGCCCGGCACACUGGGACUGAGACACUGCCCAGACUCCUACGGGAGGCUGCAGUCGAGAAUCUUCGGCAAUGGGCGCAAGCCUGACCGAGCGACGCCGCGUGGAGGAUGAAGGCCUUCGGGUUGUAAACUCCUGUCGAGGGGGAAAAAGGGUCGCAAGACCUUGAUUGAUCCCUGGAGGAAGCACGGGCUAAGUUCGUGCCAGCAGCCGCGGUAAGACGAACCGUGCGAACGUUAUUCGGAAUCAUUGGGCUUAAAGCGCGUGUAGGCGGACUCGUGCGUCUGUCGCUGAAAUCCCCCGGCUCAACCGGGGAAGGGGCGUGGAUACGACGAGUCUGGAGGGGCAUAGGGGGACCUGGAACUUCCGGUGGAGCGGUGAAAUGCGUUGAGAUCGGAAGGAACGCCCGUGGCGAAAGCGAGGUCCUGGAUGCCUACUGACGCUGAGACGCGAAAGCCAGGGGAGCGAACGGGAUUAGAUACCCCGGUAGUCCUGGCCGUAAACGAUGGGUACUGGAUAGGGGGCUCGCCGAUGGGCUCCCUGUCGUAGGGAAACCGUGAAGUACCCCGCCUGGGGAGU